UACGUAGGGUGCGAGCGUUGUCCGGAAUUAUUGGGCGUAAAGAGUUCGUAGGCGGUGUGUCGCGUCGGCCGUGAAAACCUGCAGCUUAACUGUGGGCUUGCGGUCGAUACGGGCAUCACUGGAGUUCGGCAGGGGAGACUGGAAUUCCUGGUGUAGCGGUGAAAUGCGCAGAUAUCAGGAGGAACACCGGUGGCGAAGGCGGAUCUCUGGGCCUUGCCUGACGCUCAGGUGCGAAAGCGUGGGGAGCGAACAGG
rnacentral:rRNA from 1 species